rnacentral:rRNA from 1 species
GACGAACGCUGGCGGCGUGCCUAAUACAUGCAAGUAGAACGCAGUUGCGAACGGGUGAGUAAUGCGUAGGUAACUCCCUCAUAGCGGGGGUUAACUCUUGAAACCGUUAGUUAUUCCCCCAUACUGAGCGAUGGACCUGUGUUGUAUUAGGUAGUUGGUGAGGUAAAGGCUCAACAAGGCGUCGGUACAUAGCCGACGCGAUAGGGUGAUUGACCAACACUGGACUGGGAAAAGGGCCAGAAUCCUACGGGAGGCAGCAGUAGGGAAUCUUCGGAAAUGGACGGAAGGCGGACCGAGCAACUCCGCGUUAGUGAAGAAGGGUUGCGGAUCGUAAAGCUCUGUUGUGAGAGAAGCGGUAACUAACCAGAAAGGGACGGCUAACUACGUGCCAGCAGCCGCGGUAAUAC